rnacentral:rRNA from 1 species
UACGUAGGGUGCUAGCGUUGUUCGGAAUCAUUGGGCGUAAAGCGCGUGUAGGCGGUUAGUUAAGUCGAUUGUGAAAUCCCUGGGCUUAACCGAGGAAGUGCAUUCGAAACUAACUGGCUAGAAUACGGUAGAGGAAGGUGGAAUUCCGAGUGUAGAGGUGAAAUUCGUAGAUAUUCGGAGGAACACCAGUGGCGAAGGCGGCUCACUGGCUCGACACUGACGCUGAGGUGCGAAAGCGUGGGGAGCAAACAGG